rnacentral:rRNA from 1 species
GAUGAACGCUGGCGGCGUGCCUAAUACAUGCAAGUCGAGCGAACGGACGAGAAGCUUGCUUCUCUGAUGUUAGCGGCGGACGGGUGAGUAACACGUGGAUAACCUACCUAUAAGACUGGGAUAACUUCGGGAAACCGGAGCUAAUACCGGAUAAUAUUUUGAACCGCAUGGUUCAAAAGUGAAAGACGGUCUUGCUGUCACUUAUAGAUGGAUCCGCGCUGCAUUAGCUAGUUGGUAAGGUAACGGCUUACCAAGGCAACGAUGCAUAGCCGACCUGAGAGGGUGAUCGGCCACACUGGAACUGAGACACGGUCCAUACUCCUACGGGAGGCAGCAGUAGGGAAUCUUCCGCAAUGGGCGAAAGCCUGACGGAGCAACGCCGCGUGAGUGAUGAAGGUCUUCGGAUCGUAAAACUCUGUUAUUAGGGAAGAACAUAUGUGUAGGUAACUGUGCACAUCUUGACGGUACCUAAUCAGAAAGCCACGGCUAACUACGUG